UACGUAGGGGGCCAGCGUUGUUCGGAAUUACUGGGUGUAAAGGGUUCGUAGGCGGUGCGGCAAGUUGGGAGUGAAAUCUCUGGGCUUAACCCAGAGGCUGCUUUCAAAACUGCUGUGCUUGAGUUGUGAGAGAGGCUCGUGGAAUUGCAGGUGUAGCGGUGAAAUGCGUAGAUAUCUGGAGGAACACCGGUGGCGAAGGCGGCAUCCUGGACCAACACUGACACUGAGGAGCGAAAGCCAGGGGAGCAAACGGG
rnacentral:rRNA from 1 species